UACGCAGGGUGCGAGCGUUGUCCGGAAUUACUGGGCGUAAAGAGCUCGUAGGUGGUUUGUCGCGUUGUUCGUGAAAUCUCACGGCUUAACUGUGAGCGUGCGGGCGAUACGGGCAGACUAGAGUACUGCAGGGGAGACUGGAAUUCCUGGUGUAGCGGUGGAAUGCGCAGAUAUCAGGAGGAACACCGGUGGCGAAGGCGGGUCUCUGGGCAGUAACUGACGCUGAGGAGCGAAAGCCAGGGGAGCGAACGGG
rnacentral:rRNA from 1 species